AAUAUCAUCCUCCCUCAUCUUAAACGGCACCGACCGCCACUGCAUUCAAUCAUCCUUUGUGCCAAUAAUAUACCUGUGGCAACAUACAUUAACGGGCAUUAUUGUUAUUGUUUUGUGACCCAGAUAGUUCGUGCAGAGGGCCUCGAGGUUCGAGUGUCACCGGAAGAGCCGAACACCGCCGAACAAUAGGGCCAUUCGACUGCGGCUGCGUCAUUUCGUUUUUCCCACUACUCCUGAACAGCAAAGAUUAUAGGGAGAAAUGGAUGGCUUACUUUCUGAACAGUUUGACAGUGCUGUCUCCAACCAUAGUAAGAGUAUUUGAUGUAUGUACAUACAUCGGAAUUAUGCUGUAUUGGUUGCGCUUGUAUAAAAACAGCGAACGAGUUAGCUUUUCAGUGCACGUAGACAAGCAAGCUAGCUAGCUAACAAGGAUAACAGUAAUUGGCUAAAUAUAUCGCUGUGCCUUGUUUUUUUGGAGCGUGUGACAGCUGUUCUAAACUGCAACUCUGGGAAUGGUGUGCUGGUAGUUGAAAGAACGAGGGACUAACCUGUAUGAGUGCUUCUCAGAUACCGGUUUCUGCUUUUUAUUUGAAGAAUAUCCUCUGCUGUAUUUCUGUGCAAAGCCACAUCACCAAACAUCCCGGAAACAAAACUUGCAGAGCAUCGAUUGGCCAGUGGAGGAUUGCACAACAGUAAGGGGAUGAUGGGGCCGGGUCAUGACCCACGAGUCAAUCUGAUUAUCAACAAUGGAAGACAACUUGGACGAAGCCUUCUUCUACUUGCACACUACACCACAGUGUUUGUGACCUUUGUGAGUCGCUCUGUGAACUGGUUCGUGCAGAUGCUAAAGUGGACCACACUGUUUGCACGGUACACCGUGUCCGUCUUUGACUCCAUCUACAGACACCUGCAUUGGUGGCGUAGAAGGGGCGGUGGAGGGGUUGCCAAGCAGAUCUGCCCCAGCCCUGACACAAAAUCAGGGUGACCAGAGUAAACAUGUCAAGUCUCUUUAAACUUGAAGAAGUCUUAAUGAUUUAAUUGAGAGUUUUAACCUUAGCACUAACCGGACAGCCUGCUCAAGACAUCAAAUCGGAAGAUCUCACUGCUCUUUUGGGAAAAUGAAGUGCAACAAUGGUGAGUUUAAGUAGAAUGGAAAUAGCACCUUACUGAAGUCAUUCAUUUCAUUGUUUAAUUCCUUACUAACAGUCUAGUGUUUUACAGUAUAUGCAUGUAUCUGUUGCAUGUGUAUUCCUUGUACUGUAAUGCCAAUGUGAAAGUUACAUGUUUUAAUUUUCAUAUCAUAAACUGCUAGAAUAAUGUUCAAGGACAGCUUCUCCAAAACCACUAACAGGAGGGGAAGAAUCAGGCAUUAAACACACUCACUUAAAGACAUCUCUGGUAUUAUAACACUUUUCUAAAGGGUAUAACGUUUAUUCAACUACACUACCCACCUAUGAACUGUCAUUUGUAACAUGUAUAGGAUGUACAGUAUAGGGGUCUAACUAAGCAGCUAUUUUGUCCCACAGCCAGCUAUUCAUGUGACUGUAAAUAACUGAGAAGUAUGCUUCCAGGGCCACCGGACAGGGAAUGGGUCUUUCACAUUCUAAUCUCGGCACCCAGAACCAAAUCUAAUCGCUUACAUUUAUGUUCAGUCGGUUUCAAGACUAUUCCCAUUUCUGCAUUAUACUAUCAGUAAUUCUAACCACUAUUGAGUUGAACGAAUACAGAAUUGUUUUUAUUUAUGCUUGUGUUUCCUUUUAUUGUAUUAUUUUUUUAAAAACGUAUUUUAUUUGUAAAAACUGAAAAUACUAUAUGAAUGGCAGCAUUGUGUUCAAAAUCAUGCCAACAAUAAUCCCUAGUUGGAAAUGUGUUGAUGGUUGUCUGUACUUAAAUCACUAUUUUAAUCACUCAUAUACACCGAGUAUACCAAACAUUAGGAACACCUUCCUAAUAUUGAGUUGCAACCCCCUCCCUCCCCUUUGACCUCAGAACAGACUUAAUUCGCCGGGGCAUGGACUCUUCAAGGUGUUGAAAACAUCCACAGGGAUGCCAACGCUUCGCACAGUUGUGUCAAGUUAGCUGGAUGUCCUUUGGGUGGACCCUUCUUGUUACACAGGAAACUUUAGUGUGAAAAACCCAGUAGCAUUGCAGUUCUUGACACAAACUGGUGUGCCUGGCACCUAUGACCAUACCCCAUUCAAAGGCACUUAAAUAUUUUGUCUUGCCCAUUCGCCCUCUGAAUGGCACACAUACACAAUCCAUCUCAAGGCUUAAAAAUACUUCUUUAACUGGUCUCCUCCCCUUCAUCUACAUUGAUUGAAGGGGAUUUAACAAGUGACAUCAAUUAGGGAUCAUAGCUUUCACCAGGAUUCACCUUGUCAGUCUAUGUCAUGGAAAGAGCAGGUGUCCUUAAUGUUUUGUAUACUCAGUGUAUACCACAGGUGUCAAACUCAUUCCAUGGAUGAAUGAGUGUCUGUGGGUUUUCGCUCCUCCCUUGUACUCAAUAGAGGAAUUAAGGUCACCAGCGAGUAACAAACUCCCCUCACCUGGUUGUUUAAGGCUCUAUUGAAAGGAAAAAACAAACUUGCAGACACUCGGCCAUCCAUGGAAUGAGUGACACCCCUGGUCUAGAUACAGCCUUUAAAGAUGGAACCCGCAUUAGGGGAAACGGCACCACAGUUCCUGUGUUACAGAGGUGGGCAGCGUGAUAAAAAAAAAAAGAAUUGCAGUACACAUUCUGCUGUUCUAUCUCACGUGCAAUGAUGUGCGAGGGGAAAACAAGUAUUUGCAGUAACUUUGUUGUAUACCGAACAAAAAUAUGAAUGCAAAAUGUAACAAUUAACAAUUUUAAUGAGUUUCAGUUCAUAAGGAAAUCAGGCAAUUUAAAUAAAUUAGGCUCUAAUCUAUGGAUUUCACAUGAGUGGGCAGGGGCGGAGCCAGGCCCAGCCAAUCAGAAUGAGUUUUUCCUCACAAAAAGGCUUUAUUACAGACAGAAAUACUUAUCGUUUCAUCAGCUGUCUGGGUGGCUGGUCUCAGACGAUCUCACAGUUGAAGAAGCCGGAUGUGGAAGUCCUGGGCUGGCGUGGUUACGAGGCUUGUUGGAUGUACUGCCAGUACUCUGUACUGUAAGUACUCUGUACUGUAGUCUAAGUAAGACACUUCUGACUGUAGGAUGUGCCACAAUGUUCUAUGUGGGCCUAAGCACCACAGUUGAAGUACUUUAUUGUGCAUUAUGCUAAAUCCACUGCUUGUCUGGUGUCAAUGUUACUGUUGCACUGUAUGGAGAAUCAAAGUCUGGCACUGUAAUACAGAUAGUUUAUGCUUGCAGAAAGCAUUGUCUUGUGGUCACAAUGAACUGAUUAAUGACCUGGUCCUACUUGGUCUAUGAAUGUGAAGGAAUCUCAAUAAACCAAACUAAAAACAGAA